rnacentral:misc_RNA from 1 species
UUUCCCAAUCUGAGAGU